rnacentral:rRNA from 1 species
AACGAACGCUGGCGGCAGGCCUAACACAUGCAAGUCGAACGCCGUAGCAAUACGGAGUGGCAGACGGGUGAGUAACGCGUGGGAACAUACCCUUCGGUUCGGAAUAACUCAGGGAAACUUGAGCUAAUACCGGAUACGUCCAAGGUUUAAUCGCUUUGGAGAAAGAUUUAUCGCCGAGGGAUUGGCCCGCGUCUGAUUAGCUUGUUGGUGAGGUAAUGGCUCACCAAGGCGACGANCAGUAGCUGGUCUGAGAGGAUGAUCAGCCACAUUGGGACUGAGACACGGCCCAAACUCCUACGGGAGGCAGCAGUGGGGAAUAUUGGACAAUGGGCGAAAGCCUGAUCCAGCCAUGCCGCGUGAGUGAUGAA